rnacentral:rRNA from 1 species
UGAGGAAUAUUGGACAAUGGUUGCAAGCCUGAUCCAGCCAUGCCGCGUGCAGGAAGAAGCAUCUAUGGUGUGUAAACUGCUUUUGUACGGGAAGAAACACUCCUUCGUGAAGGAGCUUGACGGUACCGUAAGAAUAAGGAUCGGCUAACUCCGUGCCAGCAGCCGCGGCAAUACGGAGGAUCCAAGCGUUAUCCGGAAUCAUUGGGUUUAAAGGGUCCGUAGGCGGUUUAGUAAGUCAGUGGUGAAAGCCCAUCGCUCAACGAUGGAACGGCCAUUGAUACUGCUAGACUUGAAUUAUUAGGAAGUAACUAGAAUAUGUAGUGUAGCGGUGAAAUGCUUAGAUAUUACAUGGAAUACCAAUUGCGAAGGCAGGUCACUACUUGUGGAUUGACGCUGAUGGACGAAAGCGUGGGGAGCGAACA